rnacentral:lncRNA from 1 species
CUUGGGAGAAGGCUAGAGAAACUCACCAGAAAUGUAGUUUUCACUAGAGUUUCCUUGGUUCAUUAGUAUAGUAUAGGUAGAGUAGUUUAUCCAUCUUGUAUUUGUAGUUAGAUUUGGAUGAAGAUUGGAGGAGCAAAGAUGAAGAGGUCGAUCUCAUGUGACAAGGGUGAUAUCUCUUCUACUACUUUCUCUCUUGUAUUGGAUUUCAUGUUUAAUUAUAAUACAAGUUGGCUUUGUGUUUUUAUUAUGUUUAGUUAAAAUUUAUGCCUAGAGUUAUGGUUGAACUUGCUAUAUUUUGUUUGUGAGGUUUACUUGGCUAUUUGAUGAUAUUAUUUUGAGUACAUUAUUUAUCACUUUUGAUUAUCUAAUCAUGAUUAACUG